rnacentral:rRNA from 1 species
CCAGACUCCUACGGGAGGCAGCAGUGGGGAAUAUUGCACAAUGGGGGAAACCCUGAUGCAGCGACGCCGCGUGGGUGACGAAGUAUUUCGGUAUGUAAAGCCCUAUCAGCAGGGAAGAAGAUGACAGUACCUGACUAAGAAGCCCCGGCUAACUACGUGCCAGCAGCCGCGGUAAUACGUAGGGGGCAAGCGUUAUCCGGAUUUACUGGGUGUAAAGGGAGCGUAGGUGGCAUGGCAAGCCAGAAGUGAAAACCCGGGGCUUAACCCCGCGGAUUGCUUUUGGAACUGUCAGGCUGGAGUGCAGGAGGGGCAGGCGGAAUUCCUGGUGUAGCGGUGAAAUGCGUAGAUAUCAGGAGGAACACCAGUGGCGAAGGCGGCUUACUGGACUGUAACUGACACUGAGGCACGAAAGCGUGGGGAGCAAACAGGAUUAGAUACCCCAGUA